rnacentral:rRNA from 1 species
UACGUAGGGGGCUAGCGUUGUCCGGAUUUAUUGGGCGUAAAGAGCGUGUAGGCGGCCCGGUAAGUCCGCUGUGAAAGUCCAGGGCUCAACCCUGGGAUGCCGGUGGAUACUGUCGGGCUCGAGUCCGGAAGAGGAGUGUGGAAUUCCUGGUGUAGCGGUGAAAUGCGCAGAUAUCAGGAAGAACACCUAUGGCGAAAGCAGCUCUCUGGGACGGUACUGACGCUGAGACGCGAAAGCGUGGGGAGCGAACAGG